GACGAACGCUGGCGGCGUGCUUAACACAUGCAAGUCGAACGGAAAGGCCCUGCUUUUGUUGGUUGCUCGUGUGGCGAACGCGUGUGUAACACGUGAGUAACCUGCCCUUGACUUUGGGAUAUCUUCACGAAACUGGGGCUAAUACCCGAUAGGAGCUCCUGCUGCACGGUGGGGGUUGGAAAGUUUCGGCGGUUGGGGAUCGACUCGCGGCUUAUCAGCUUGUUGGUCGGGUAGUGGCUUACCAAGCCUUUGAAGGGUAGCCGGCCUGGGAGGGUGACCGGCCACAUUGGGACUGAGGUACGGCCCAGACGCGUACGGGAGGCAGCAGUGGGGAAUAUUGCACAAUGGGCGGAAGCCUGAUGCAGCAACGCCGCGUGCGGGAUGACGGCCUUCGGGUUGUAAACCGCCUUCGCCUGUGACGAAGCGUGAGUGACGGUAAUGGGUAAAGAAGCACCGGCUAACUACGUG
rnacentral:rRNA from 1 species